AUGCUAUUUGCAACUUUAGAACAUAUACUAACUCAUAUCUCUUUCUCAACGAUUUCAAUUGUGAUUACGAUUCAUUUUAUAACCUUAUUAGUUCGUGAACUUGGAGGAUUACGUGAUUCGUCAGAAAAAGGAAUGAUAGUUACUUUUUUCUCUAUAACAGGAUUCUUAGUUUCUCGUUGGGCUUCCUCGGGACAUUUUCCAUUAAGUAAUUUAUAUGAGUCAUUGAUCUUCCUUUCAUGGGCACUGUAUAUUCUUCAUACCAUUCCUAAAAUACAGAACUCUAAAAAUGAUUUAAGCACAAUAACUACGCCAAGUACUAUUUUAACGCAAGGCUUUGCCACAUCGGGUCUUUUAACUGAAAUGCAUCAAUCCACGAUACUAGUACCUGCUCUACAAUCUCAGUGGUUAAUGAUGCAUGUCAGUAUGAUGUUAUUAAGCUAUGCAACUCUUUUGUGCGGAUCCUUAUUAUCUGCCGCUAUUCUAAUCAUUAGAUUUCGAAAUAAUUUCCAUUUCUUUUCUAAAAAGAAAAAAAUGUUUUAA
rnacentral:rRNA from 1 species